rnacentral:rRNA from 1 species
GUGAACGCUGGCGGUAGGCCUAACACAUGCAAGUCGAACGGCAGCACAGUAAGAGCUUGCUCUUACGGGUGGCGAGUGGCGGACGGGUGAGGAAUACAUCGGAAUCUACUUUUUCGUGGGGGAUAACGUAGGGAAACUUACGCUAAUACCGCAUACGACCUACGGGUGAAAGCAGGGGAUCUUCGGACCAUGCGCGAUUGAAUGAGCCGAUGUCGGAUUAGCUAGUUGGCGGGGUAAAGGCCCACCAAGGCGACGAUCCGUAGCUGGUCUGAGAGGAUGAUCAGCCACACUGGAACUGAGACACGGUCCAGACUCCUACGGGAGGCAGCAGUGGGGAAUAUUGGACAAUGGGCGCAAGCCUGAUCCAGCCAUACCGCGUGGGUGAAGAAGGCCUUCGGGUUGUAAAGCCCUUUUGUUGGGAAAGAAAAGCAGCAGGUUAAUACCCCGCUGUUCUGACGGUACCCAAAGAAUAAGCACCGGCUAACUUCGUG